GACGGCGCGUUGCCCACUGACGGCUCCGCUAAAGCCAGCGAUAGGGCCGGUAGGCAUACCUGAACAUCGCCCCCGAGGGCUCCGAGGUCGCUGCGCAUGCGUAAGGUGAAAGGAGGUGAGAAAGGAGGCCAACUUGUUUUUACCGGAUGUGACGCAUCAGACACUUGUUUUUUUUACUUUUCUGAGAAAGGUACUCUCGACCUCACACAUUCUUGCUCGAUGCGUCGUUGCGGCGGCGAUUUGAUUUGCGAUUGCGAGGACGGUAAUGGUGGUUGAGACGCAGGUUGCACUAGGCCUUGCCAACUCCACGAUCAUCCAAACCUUCUUGCAUCAUGUCUACAGACGAACCUCGGUCCAAGUUGGUUUCGAAGACUUGUAAUACAUCAACUUACCAGGAAUACCAGGAUCUUUAAUAACCUUGCAGCCAAAGCCCCCCCCCCCA